CGGGUGAGUAACACGUGAGUGACCUGCCUUUUAGACUGGAACAACUUACCGAAAGGUGAGCUAAUGCCGGAUGAGUUAUAUAAGUGCAUGUUUAUAUAGGAAAAGUUGGGGAGACCUGACGCUGAAAGAUGGACUCGCGUCCCAUUAGCUAGUUGGUGGGGUAAUGGCCUACCAAGGCGACGAUGGGUAGCCGGCCUGAGAGGGUGGCCGGCCACACUGGGACUGAGACACGGCCCAGACUCCUACGGAAGGCAGCAG
rnacentral:rRNA from 1 species